rnacentral:tRNA from 1 species
AUCUAAAUAGUUUAAUAAAAAUUUUGAUUUGUGGUAUCAAAGAUAUAGUUUUAUUUUAGAUU